CCAUCCACAUGUGUCUCUAAGGCCUUGCUUCUUGCCAUGGCCACCAGCAAGCUGAUGGCUGAUUCCAGAUGGAACUGACUUGAAAGUCUUUUGAUUCUCAGACGACAAGAGCUCCCUUCUUAGAAAGAAAGAGGAAAGAAAGAGAGAAAGAAAGAAAGAAGAAAAGACUUUCUACCUUGGAUAGCGCUUAUUGCAGGAUGAAGAUAGAUUUCCUGUAGGAGGAAAUGUUGAAGGAGAAAGAGAGAGAAGAGGAUCCCUUUAUGCAAGGAGAACAGAGUGAAUGAAAACACAGAGAAAACAAAGGGCCCUGGCUCCCUUCCUUCAAUUGCCAACUUCAGAGAGAAGCUUACACAAUUGGAAAAGGAGGUUGGAGAUUCAUCUCCUCUUAACUGUAAAGGUGGCAAAUCUCUCUCAACUCUUUGGUUAGAAAAUACAGGUAAGUGUAUGGUUGGGCGCGGUGGCUCAUGCCUGUAAUCCCAGCAAUUUGGGAGGCCGAGGCAGGUGGAUCCUCUGAGGUCAGGAGUUUGAGACCAGUUUGGGCAACAUGGUGAAACCCCAUCUCUACUAAAAAUGCAAAAGUUCAUGGUGGCGAGUGCCUGUAAUCCCAGCUACUCAGGAGGUUGAGGCAGGAGAAUGGCUUGAAUCCAGGAAGCAGAGGUUGCAGUGAGCCAAGAUCAUGCCAUUGCACUCCAGCCUAGGCAAGAAGAACAAGACUCUGCUUUGAAAAAUAUAUAUAUAUAAAAAAAAAAAGAAAAGAAAGAAAAAGAAAAUGCAAUUAAGUGGACUGGAGUGUGCUCUUUCCAAAGAAAAUUGGCUGGAUUGAGAUGUGAGUGUCCUAGAAGCUGAACCAAUAAAAAUCAAUCAUUCCCAUCCCCGGGGAAAUGG
rnacentral:lncRNA from 13 species